rnacentral:lncRNA from 1 species
CGCCCACAUGUGUUCCCGUAUCUUUCUCCCCUUCUUUUUUUCAAAUCUUUCUAAUUUGAGAAGCAAACUUGUGAGUAAUUAUCUCUGAUUUGCAGAGUUUAUCUUUGAUUUGAGAAGCAAACUGGUGUAUAUUUAUAGAAACCGCGGGCCUCGCUAAUUCCUCGUUAAUUCCACGUAAGCACAAUUCGUCGUAAAGACGUCGUAAAUAAAAACGCGGGCCUCGCUAAUCCCUCGUUACACAACGAGGAAGUUACGAGGAAACAAAACGCCAGCCUCGCUAAUUCCUCGUAUAAAACAACGCGGACCUCGCUAGUUCCUCGUAAAGUUACGAGAAAAUUACGACGAUAACUAAUUUCUUAUAUAAACACGCGAGCUCGCUCUCCCAUUUCCUCUCCACUUCCUCUCUCUUUCGUAGCUAUGGUACGUUCUCUCUCUAUUUCCUCUCUAAUUUGAUUAGUUUAGGGUAGAUUAGGUGGUUAGUGUAGGAAAUUUAGAUAGGUUUACUAAUUUUAUGUUAAUUAGUGUUGAUUAGGUGGUUAAUGUAGAGAAUUUAUCUAGAUUUAUAGAAUUUGUUAAUUACUGUUGAUGUUAAUUUUAAAAUUUAAUUUUUUUUUAGACGAUUCGAAAGAAAAGACUUACUCUCCA